ACUCAAAUGAAUUGACGGGGGCCCGCACAAGCGGCGGAGCAUGCGGAUUAAUUCGAUGCGACGCGAAGAACCUUACCUGGGUUUGACAUGGGCGGAAAUCCGGCAGAGAUGUCGGGUCCUUCGGGGCCGUCCACAGGUGGUGCAUGGCUGUCGUCAGCUCGUGUCGUGAGAUGUUGGGUUAAGUCCCGCAACGAGCGCAACCCUCGUUCGAUGUUGCCAGCGGUUCGGCCGGGGACUCAUCGAAGACUGCCGGGGUCAACUCGGAGGAAGGUGGGGAUGACGUCAAGUCAUCAUGCCCCUUAUGUCCAGGGCUUCACGCAUGCUACAAUGGCCGGUACAAAGGGCUGCGAUACCGUAAGGUGGAGCGAAUCCCAAAAAGCCGGUCUCAGUUCGGAUCGGGGUCUGCAACUCGACCCCGUGAAGUUGGAGUCGCUAGUAAUCGCAGAUCAGCAACGCUGCGGUGAAUACGUUCCCGGGCCUUGUACACACCGCCCGU
rnacentral:rRNA from 1 species